rnacentral:rRNA from 1 species
GCAGUAGGAAUCUUCCACAAUGGGCGAAAGCCUGAUGGAGCAACGCCGCGUGUUGAUGAAGGCUUUCGGGUCGUAAAGCACUGUUGUAUGGGAAGAAAAGUUAAGGUAGGGAAUGACCUUAGCCUGACGGUACCAUACCAGAAAGGGACGGCUAAAUACGUGCCAGCAGCCGCGGUAAUACGUAUGUCCCGAGCGUUAUCCGGAUUUAUUGGGCGUAAAGCGAGCGCAGACGGUUGGUUAAGUCUGAUGUGAAAGCCCGGAGCUCAACUCCGGAAAGGCAUUGGAAACUGGUUAACUUGAGUGCAGUAGAGGUAAGUGGAACUCCAUGUGUAGCGGUGGAAUGCGUAGAUAUAUGGAAGAACACCAGCGGCGAAGGCGGCUUACUGGACUGUAACUGACGUUGAGGCUCGAAAGUGUGGGUAGCAAACAGGAUUAGAUACCCUGGUAGUCCACACCGUAAACGAUGAACACUAGGUGUUAGGAGGUUUCCGCCUCUUAGUGCCGAAGCUAACGCAUUAAGUGUUCCGCCUGGGGAGUACGACCGCAAGGUUGAAACUCAAAGGAAUUGACGGGGACCCGCACAAGCGGUGGAGCAUGUGGUUUAAUUCGAAGCAACGCGAAGAACCUUACCAGGUCUUGACAUCCUUUGAAGCUUUUAGAAAUAGAAGUGUUCUCUUCGGAGACAAAGUGACAGGUGGUGCAUGGUCGUCGUCAGCUCGUGUCGUGAGAUGUUGGGUUAAGUCCCGCAACGAGCGCAACCCUUAUUGUUAGUUGCCAGCAUUCAGAUGGGCACUCUAGCGAGACUGCCGGUGACAAACCGGAGGAAGGCGGGGACGACGUCAGAUCAUCAUGCCCCUUAUGACCUGGGCUACACACGUGCUACAAUGGCGUAUACAACGAGUUGCCAACCUGCGAAGGUGAGCUAAUCUCUUAAAGUACGUCUCAGUUCGGACUGCAGUCUGCAACUCGACUGCACGAAGUCGGAAUCGCUAGUAAUCGCGGAUCAGCACGCCGCGGUGAAUACGUUCCCGGGUCUUGUACACACCGCCCGUCACACCAUGGAAGUUUGUAAUGCCCAAAGCCGGUGGCCUAACCGUAAGGAGGGAACCGUCUAAGGC